UUUCGUGGCCCUUGGGGAAGGGGUCCGAAACCAACCCUAUCUCUUGUUUCCCCACACAUACGGACUCUAAAAACAGCCUAUACUCAAGUAUUUCGAAAUUACAAGGGCCUGGCCCAAUAAUAAGGUGACGCAACACCUAGAAUAGCCUCUAGACGAAAGUUAUGAAGUAGCAUCUUGUAUAUUUCGUCCAAGGCUUCAUGCACGCAUUAUGGUGGCUUCAACGUCCUGAAAUCAUCACUUGUAACUCCGUUCUUGUUCCCCAUGCGCAUGCCAUCAUCUCCAUGCUUGUUCUUGCUCCAAUGUUCAUCCUUCUCAAAGCCAGGCCCUUAUUUGUAAGAAAAACAAAUGUAUCCAAUUUAGGCAGCAUCAUAUUCUCAUGAACAUUAGAAUCAUUACCAAGAAACGAAAGUACCUGGUAAUUUAAUUGGCAUGCGCGAGCUCUAGUAAUUUGUCCAGUAUGUAUAGCAGCAGGGGCUGUGGGUGUAACAAUGGUAUUGAUGUCCUCAUCACUGUUCAGUCAUCAUUUGCUGAAACUUAUCAUGAAGCUCCUUGUUCGUUAAGUUCUCCCAGUCAAUCUCGUCGGCUUGUGAUCCUGGCAUGGUUAGCAGUAAUAGAAACACACAAAAAUAUGAUCCUAUAGACUACUAACAAGUGGUGGUGGUGGUGGGUGUCACAAAUCCGUCAAGCAAAUCUCAAAUUCUUACCAGUUCUUACCCAGCAGCAGGCGGUGAUCGGCAACUGAUGUAGUCAAAACUCUCAAAGCUUGGAUAGAGCGAUUACCAGGGAGAGUCAAACGCACGAUGUAGAUGUAUGUGGAGCUGGGAAGGCUUAUAAUAUGGUAGCAAAAAGGGUCAGCAAUAAUCAAUUCAGAGAUGCAAAGUUGAAUAAACGCUCAACGACGGUACUGUGCUGGUCCUAGGCUAGACCGUACUAGAGACGCGAGCCUAGAACACUAACAAAAUCACGGCGCUGCACGUAAACAAGGGAGGAGCACACUCUGAAUUUUUUUUUUCACUUUUUUUCCUCUUUUUUUUUGCUCAGCAACAAUUUUUUUCGAAAAAGUCUACAAAUGUCCUAAAAACUGCCUAUCCAGAAUUUUCCGGACUUAGUUUUUUUUUAAACUGGAACUAUUUUUCUUCUGCGGAUGGCUCAGAAGUUGGGGAGUCCUAUUCUGUCACCACUCGGAGUAUCGCGUGAUCUGGAAAUCGAGAACAAAGCAAUAAUUACUGGACUCGGACUGGUGGCGGAGAUGAAUCUGGUGGAAACUCGGACUGGUGGCGGAUAUUUGCAGGGCGAUGGAACACGGACUGGUUGCGAAUCUGUGAUGGAGGUGGACUCGGAUUAGCGUGAUGGCGGUGGAUAUGUGGUAUAUGGUAGCGGUGAUGACGAUGGUGGUAUAUGGCAGCGGUGAUGAUGAUGGUGGUAUAUGGCAACGGUGAUGACGAUGGUGCGGCGGCGGCGUGACAACUUGUGAACAGAACUCGAAACUCUAAAGUACUAGACGCUAGGACCAGCAACUUGACACGACGAUGCAACCGCAAAUUCAACAAAGCAAAUACAGAAAAGAUUAUGCAAAGGCUCAUAUUGGUUCGGAUAAGAUGAACUAACCCUAAUAUUUUUUUUGGCUUUUUCGUGGACUAUAGGUAUGAAGAACAGACUCGAUCUAAACUACGAAAAACUGUAAAAUCUCACCGAGCAACCUGGAAAUCUGAUACCACUUGAUAGAGGCAAAGGUGUCCCGUCUUUCGAUGAGAAGGUGGCUAUCGUUUGGAGGAAGUCGACUUUGACGAUCCGACUACAAACGUGCGAGGACGUCGCGCCUUAGCAAUCACUAAACCAACUCCGAGAGGUUAUUGACCACACCGGAGCACAAUCAACCUGACCACGAAGGUUUGUUUCCUGCAGGCAAACGAAGAACAAGCAAGAAACUAAGAUUGCAAUCUGGAUAUUGCGAAUAUAAGAGGAAAGCUUUAUUGAUCAAGGUGGGGUUUUGUGACGCCUUUGUCUGGUCGUUGAACACAAACGAAGUACGCGAAGUUGCGGCUAUGGCGAACUUUUAAUCUAAACAAAACCCAAAAUCUAAACGGUGCCCUAAGGGCUGUAUAUAUGGAGGAAGAGGGGGGGGGGGAUUUCGUGGCCCUUGGGGAAGGGGUCCGAAACCAACCCUAUCUCUUGUUUCCCCACACAUACGGACUCCAAAAACAGCCUAUACUAAUGUAUUUCGAAAUUACAUGGGCCUGGCCCAAUAAUAAGGUGACGCAGCACCUAGAAUAGCCUCUGGACGAAAUUUAUGAAGUGGCAUCUUGUAUAUUUCGUCCAAGGCUUCAUUCAGUCCUUAUGGUGGCUUCAAAGUCCUGAAAUCAUCACUUGUAACUCCGUUCUUGUUCCCCUUGCGCAUGCCAUCAACUCCAUGCUUGUUCUUGCUCCAAUGUUCAUCCUUCUCCAAGCUAGGCCCUUCAUUUGUAAGCAAAACAAAAGUAUCCAAUUUAGGCAGCAUCAUAUUCUCAUGAACAUUAGAAUCUUUACCAAGAAACGAAAGUACCUGGUAAUUUAAUUGGCGUGCGCGAGCUCUAGUAAUUGGUCCAUUAUAUGUAACAGUAGGGGCUGUGGGUGUAACAAUGUUAUUGAUGUCCUCAUCAAGUUCAUGCUCACCACCACUGCUUGGUUCCUCCACCGUUGCACCUACUAGAGCAGCCACACCUCAGAUUGUGAGCGCGACAUCAUCUCAAGAGUAUGGUACAUUGCCAUCAUCCAUACCUACAUCAGCUACAUCUUUGCGACAAGGUAACUGUAAAGGUAUUAAUGAUAUAACGUCACAUGAGAAUGAUGCAUGCCUAGUUAACUUGAAUACAUCAUGUGUUGAGUUACCUGUUGAUUUGAGCGCAUCACCUAUUUUAGAGAAUCAUGUUACUGUCAUGAAUGUGUCAUGUGAUCAAACAACUGAAAUACCAACAAUUUUGAGUGCACCCAAUGAAUUAACUGUUGAUGAAAAAGAACCAAUGUUUAAUCAUUUUGAUAUGACCUCUAAUCUUGGUGAUGAUUCUGUGUCAAAUGACUUAUUGCAUGUUUGCUUAUUUAAGCAUGUUGUAGCAUGUAAAUUUGAUGCAAGUAAGGUUUAUUCACCAAUGUUGGGAUGGUUUAAUGAUGAAUAUUGUCAAUCUUUUCAUAUGAAUAAGAGCUUCACUUAUAUGUGCGAACUGAGUUGCAAUACUUCCAUGCCUUCUACUUCUUGUGAUAAUAUUUUGGCUUUAUAUUUUAUUAACUAUGAAAGUUACUCAUGUAUACAUGUGUUAUAUGUGCAAAAUGCACGGGAAGUAAAAAUGGAUGACAUAUACAUAUACAACAUGUACACCUUGUCUCUUUUGUUAGCCACAUUUCAGAUUAAGCAACGGCGAGGACGGCUUUAUUUUCAAGAAGGGGAGGAUGACGAGGACAUGACUACCUUGGAUACGACCAAAAAUAUUGCAUACAUGCAUAUUUGUCAGGUGAUUUCUAGUGCAAAUUAUUCAAUAAUUUAUUUAUGUUAUCCAGAACAAAAAUACUUCACACACUUUUAUAUUUUGUCUAUUUGCAGGUGUAUGUGACAUUUGUACAAUCCACAUAUGAAGAUAGGGGAAAAAGGAGAAGUUUAGGUUCUGUUCAAAAAGUCCUCUCACGUCACUUUUGGGCCAAGAGAAAAUAGAGUCCAAGUCUCUCACGUUCUGGAUUCAGAUUCGGACUGCACAGACAUACCUGACUCAAAACGCCAACAACUUCUCCAUACGGACUCCGGAUGAUGAGGACAUCAAUACCAUUGUUACACCCACAGGCCCUGCUGCUAUACAUAUUGGACCAAUUACUAGAGCUCGCGCACGCCAAUUAAAUUACCAGGUACUUUCGUUUCUUGCUAAUGAUUCUAAUGUUCAUGAGAAUAUGAUGCUGCCUAAAUUGGAUACAUUUGUUUUGCUUACAAAUGAAGGGCCUAGCUUUGAGAAGGAUGAACAUUGGAGCAAGAACAAGCAUGGAGAUGAUGGCAUGCGCAUGGGGAACAAGAACGGAGUUACAAGUGAUGAUUUCAGGACGUUGAAGCCACCAUAAUGCGUGCAUGAAGCCUUGGACGAAAUAUACAAGAUGCUACUUCAUAACUUUCGUCCAGAGGCUAUUGUAGGUGCUGCGUCACCUUAUUAUUGGGCCAGGCCCAUGUAAUUUCGAAAUACAUAAGUAUAGGCUGUUUUUAGAGUCCGUAUGUGUGGGGAAACAAGAGAUAGGGUUGGUUUCGGACCCCUUCCUCAAGGGCCACGAAAUUCCCCCCCCCCUCUUCCUCCAUAUAUACAGCCCUUAGGGCGUCGUUUAGACUUUGGGUUUUGUUUAGAUUAAAAGUUCGCCAUAGCUGCAACUUCGCGUACUUCGUUUGUGUUCAGCGACCACACAAAGGCGUCACAGAACCCCACCUUGAUCAAUAAAGCUUUCAUCUUAUAUUCGCAAUAUCCGGAUUGCAAUCUCAGUUUCUUGCUUGUUCUUCGUUUGCUCGCAGGAAACAGACCCUCGUGGUCAGGUUGAUCGUGCUCCGGCGUGGUCGAUAACCUCUCGGAGUUGGUUUAGCGAUUGCUAAGGCGCGACGUCCUCGCACGUUCGUAGUCGGAUCGUCAAAGUCGACUUCCACCAAAGCGAUAUCCAUCAUCUCAUCGAAAGACGGGACACCUUUGCCUCUAUCAAGUGGUAUCAGUUUUCAGGUUGCUCGGUGAGAUUUUACAGUUUUUCGUAGUUUAGAUCGAGUCUGUUCUUCAUACCUACAGUCCACGAAAAAGCCACAAAAAAAAAUUAGGGUUAGUUCAUCAUAUCCGAACCAAUCUGAGCCUUUGCAUAAUCUUUUUAGGGUUUUUGCUUUGUUGAAUUUGCGGUUGCAUCGUCGUGUCAAGUUGCUGGUCUUAGAGUCUAGUAUUUUAGAGUUUCGAGUUCUGGUCAUAAGUUGUCACGCCGCCGCCGCACCAUCAUCAUCGCCUUGCCAUCUACCACCAUUGCUUAUAUGCCACCGCUCUGAAUCCGUAUCUAUAUCCACCACCAAUCCGAGUUCUUUUCAUAUUCGGUUGGUUUUAGAGAUCCAUAUAUUUUCCGUUUCGUGUUUCCUUGCCUGAGUAGGUCUCGGCAAAAAAAAAAGAGUCUGGAGACCCCCGGGCAGUUUUUAGGCCAAAAUUUCGGCAACCAAAAAUAUUUUUUCCCUAUCCUAUUUUUAGGCCCCGGGUAGUGUUUUGAGACACUCGCCAUCAUAGUGAUUUUUCGUCGCACUUUUUCGUCGUCGCUGCCCUGAUUUCCGAAAAAAAAAAUAGUCAAAAAAUUUUGUGCCCAUCCUGUCAGUUUGACCUGGGAAGAGUUUUGAGACACUCGCCAUUAUAGUGAUUUUUCGCAAAAAAAAAAGAGGAGCGCAAAAAAAAAAGAGCGGAAAAAAAAAGCGAAAAAAAAAUUCCAGAGUGUGCUUUUCCCUUGUUUACGUGCAGCGCAGUGAUUUUGUUAGUGUUCUAGGCUCGCGUCUCUAGCACGGUCUAGCCUAGGACCAGCACAGUACCGUCGUUGAGCGUUUAUUCAACUUUGCAUCUCUGAAUUGAUUAUUGCUUACCAUUUUGCUACCAUAUUAUAAGCCUUCCCAGCUCCACAUAAGUCUACAUCGUGCGUUUGACUCUUCCUGGUAAUCGCUAUAUCCAAGCUUUGAGAGUUUUUGACUACAACGGUUGCCGAUCACCACCUGCUGCUGGGUAAGAACUGGUAAGAAUUUGAGAUUCGCUUGAAGGUUUUGUGACACACCACCAUCACCACCACUUCUAGUAGUCUGCAGGAUCAUAUUCUUUUGGUGUUUCUUUUGCUGCUAACCAUGGCAGGUUCACAAGCCGAUGAGACUGAUUGGGAGAACAUGACGAACAAGGAGUUGCAUGAUAAAUUUCAGCAAAUGAUGAGUGGCCAGGUGGGAGAUGUGCUAAACAGAUUUGAAGAGGCUAUGGAGAAGAUAGAUGCCGUGGAGAAGUCGUUUGAAACAAAGCUGGAUAACAAGUUUACUGAAUUACUCAAGCGUCUUCCCCAACCACCACCGGCUGCACAUGUCGCAACAACAACAACCACAUCUCCAACGCCGCCUUCCAAAUCAAGUGGGACGGGCACAGCGCGUUCCAAUUGAGAUUGGUCAAAAUUCGGGUGCUGCUGCCCCUACUGUUGAUGCUUCUUUGGCUCUUGCUCCUGCGGCGGUUGAGGAGGAUGACGCUUAUGCGGGCGAUUAUGAGGAUGAGGUUGAUCAAAAUUAGAACUACGUGCAGCCACCAGCACCACCACCAGCAGGUCGACCUCAGGUAUAUAUUCGCAACGGUAGGCCGGCACCACCACCUCAGGUACGAGAUCAUGACCAUCUCCCUAAACUGAAAUUGAAUAUUCCACCAUUUGAGGGUAGAUAUGUUCCUGAUAUAUAUCUUACUUGGGAGUUAGAAACUGAACAACGAUUUACAUGUUUACAAUAUCCUGAGGAGAGACGUGUUCCUGCUGCUGUUUGUGCUUUCACUAGCUUUGCAUGUGUUUGGUGGUCUGAACAUUGUAGAUUAUAUCCUGUUCCAGCUACUUGGGCUGCUUUGAAAACUGCUAUGCGUACUCAUUGGGUUCCACCAUAUUAUCAACGUGAAUUACUUCAAAAAUUGCAGCGUUUAAGACAAGGAAAAAAUUCUGUAGAAGAAUAUUAUCAGGAAUUACAAACUGGCAUGAUUAGAUGUGGUAUUGUUGAGGAGAAUGAAGCUAUGCUUGCACGUUUUAUGGGUGGAUUAAAUAAAGAGAUUCAGACCAUUCUAGAGUAUAAGGAUUAUAAUAAUAUCACUCGUUUAUUCCAUCUUGCUUGUAAAGCUGAACGUGAAGUGCAGGAUCGACAGCCAUUGGCGCGACCUAACUUUUCUGCAGGUCGACCUUCAUCAUGGACACCGCGUGCAUCUUCUACUUCCACUUCACCAUCACCUCCAUCAGGUGCCACCUCCAGCCGUGAUACAAGAAAGCAGGCACAACCACCACUCUCUGCCAAGAGCACACCUGCCGGGCCUGUGCAGAGCUCUUCUUCUUCCAUGGCAUCGACAGGGCACACAAGUGAUAUUAUUUGUCGUCGUUGUAAGGGAAGAGGACAUUUUGCGAGGGAAUGCAAAUCUCAGCGUGUCAUGAUUGCUACUGAGGAUGGUGGGUAUGAGUCCGCUAGUGACUAUGAUGAGGAGACUUUGGCUCUUAUUACACGUGAAGAACAUGGUGGAGAUGAUUCUGAAAAUGAGACGCAAUACAUGGCUCCUGAAGACGCUGACAGGUAUGAAUGUUUAGUUGCUCAACGUGUUUUGAGUGUGCAGGUCACACAAGCAGAGCAAAAUCAGAGGCAUAAUUUGUUCCAUACAAAGGGAGUUGUGAAGGAACGUUCUGUUCGCGUCAUCAUAGAUGGAGGGAGCUGUAACAACUUGGCUAGCAUGGAGAUGGUGGAGAAGCUAUCUCUCACCACAAGACCACAUCCACAUCCUUACUACAUCCAAUGGUUCAACAACAGCGGCAAGGUUAAGGUAACACGUACUGUUCGUGUGCAUUUUAGUAUCUCUACAUAUGCUGAUUAUGUUGAUUGUGAUGUGGUACCCAUGCAAGCAUGUUGCUUAUUACUAGAUAGACCAUGGCAAUUUGAUAAAAAUUCUGUACACCAUGGUAGAAACAAUCAGUAUACUCUUGUUCAUAAGGAUAAAAAUAUUACUUUGCUUCCUAUGACUCCUGAUUCCAUUUUGAAAGAUGACAUUAAUAGAGCUAAUAAAGCAAAACAGGAGAAAAAUAAGAGUGAAAAUCAGAUUGUGGCAAAGGAAUUUGAGCAACAAAUGAAACCUAAUAAUAAACCAUCUAGUGUUGUUUCUGAAAUUAAAUUGAAAAGUGCAUGUUUACUUGCCACAAAAUCUGAUAUUGAUGAACUAGAUUUCAGCAAAUCUGUUUGCUAUGCUUUUGUGUGCAAAGAGGCAUUAUUUUCAUUCGAGGACGUGCCUUCCUCUUUGCCCCCUGCUGUCACUAACAUUUUGCAGGAGUUCGCUGACGUCUUCCCACAAGACGUGCCACCGGGAUUACCACCUAUUCGAGGGAUUGAGCAUCAAAUUGACUUAAUUGCCGGUGCAUCGCUACCCAACCGUGCACCAUACCGUACCAAUCCAGAGGAGACGAAGGAGAUUAUGCGUCAAGUACAGGAGCUGCUCGACAAAGGUUAUAUACGCGAAUCUCUUAGUCCUUGUGCUGUUCCUAUUAUACUCGUGCCUAAAAAGGAUGGUACGUCGCGUAUGUGUGUUGAUUGUAGAGGCAUUAAUAAUAUUACUAUUCGUUAUCGUCAUCCUAUUCCUAGGCUCGAUGAUAUGCUUGAUGAAUUGAGUGGCUCUACAAUAUUCUCCAAAGUUGAUUUGCGUAGUGGAUACCAUCAAAUUCGUAUGAAAUUGGGAGAUGAAUGGAAAACUGCAUUUAAAACUAAGUUUGGUUUAUAUGAGUGGUUAGUCAUGCCUUUUGGGUUAACUAAUGCACCUAGUACUUUCAUGAGACUAAUGAACGAAGUUUUACGUGCUUUCAUUGGACGAUUUGUGGUAGUCUAUUUUGAUGAUAUACUGAUUUAUAGCAAAUCUUUGGAAGAACAUUUGGAACAUUUACGUGCUGUUUUUAUUGCUCUACGUGAUGCACGUUUGUUUGGUCACCUUGGGAAGUGCACCUUUUGCACCGACCGAGUAUCUUUUCUUGGCUAUGUUGUUACUCCACAGGGAAUUGAAGUUGAUAAAGCCAAGAUUGAAGCUAUUGAGAGUUGGCCGCAGCCCAAAACGGUCACACAAGUGCGGAGUUUUCUUGGACUCGCUGGUUUCUAUAGGCGUUUUGUGCGAGAUUUUAGCACCAUUGCUGCACCUCUCAACGAGCUUACAAAGAAGGAUGUGCCUUUUGUUUGGGGUACCGCACAGGAAGAAGCCUUCACGAUAUUGAAAGAUAAGUUGACACAUGCUCCUUUACUCCAACUUCCUGAUUUUAAUAAGACUUUUGAGCUUGAAUGUGAUGCUAGUGGCAUUGGAUUAGGUGCCUGUACCUAGUGUUCCUUGGGAGGAUAUAUCUAUGGACUUUGUUUUAGGUUUACCUCGAACAAAGAAGGGGAGGGAUAGCAUAUUUGUUGUCGUGGAUAGAUUCUCGAAAAUGGCACACUUUAUACCAUGUCAUAAAAGCGAUGAUGCUGUUAAUGUUGCUGAUUUGUUCUUUCGUGAAAUUAUUCGCUUGCAUGGUGUGCCAAAUACUAUUGUUUCAGAUCGUGAUACUAAAUUUCUUAGCCACUUUUGGAGAUGUUUAUGGGCUAAGUUGGGGACCAAACUGCUUUUUAGUACUACUUGUCACCCCCAAACUGAUGGACAAACUGAAGUAGUCAAUAGAACAUUGUCUACUAUGCUUAGGGCUGUUUUGAAGAAUAAUAAGAAAAUGUGGGAAGAAUGCUUGCCUCAUAUUGAGUUUGCUUAUAAUCGUUCAUUGCAUUCUACUACUAAGAUGUGCCCUUUUGAAAUUGUGUAUGGUUUCCUACCUCGUGCACCUAUUGAUUUGUUGCCUCUUCCAUCUUCGGAGAAGGUUAAUUUUGAUGCUAAACAACGUGCUGAAUUGAUCUUAAAAAUGCAUGAGUUAACUAAGGAAAACAUUGAACGUAUGAAUGCUAAAUAUAAACUUGCUGGAGAUAAGGGUAGAAAACAUGUUGUGUUUGCACCUGGAGAUCUUGUUUGGUUACAUUUGCGUAAGGAUAGAUUUCCUGAUUUGCGCAAAUCAAAGCUAAUGCCACGUGCUGAUGGUCCUUUUAAGGUGUUAGAGAAAAUAAAUGAUAAUGCAUAUAAACUUGAGCUGCCUGCAGAUUUUGGGGUUAGUCCCACUUUUAAUAUUGCAGAUUUGAAGCCUUAUUUGGGUGAGGAAGAUGAGCUUCCGUCGAGGACGACUUCAUUUCAAGAAGGGGAGGAUGAUGAGGACAUCAAUACCAUUGUUACACCCACAGGCCCUGCUGCUAUACAUACUGGACCAAUUACUAGAGCUCGCGCACGCCAAUUAAAUUACCAGGUACUUUCGUUUCUUGCUAAUGAUUCUAAUGUUCAUGAGAAUAUGAUGCUGCCUAAAUUGGAUACAUUUGUUUUGCUUACAAAUGAAGGGCCUAGCUUUGAGAAGGAUGAACAUUGGAGCAAGAACAAGCAUGGAGAUGAUGGCAUGCGCAUGGGGAACAAGAACGGAGUUACAAGUGAUGAUUUCAGGAUGUUGAAGCCACCAUAAUGCGUGCAUGAAGCCUUGGACGAAAUAUACAAGAUGCUACUUCAUAACUUUCGUCCAGAGGCUAUUCUAGGUGCUGCGUCACCUUAUUAUUGGGCCAGGCCCAUGUAAUUUCGAAAUACAUAAGUAUAGGCUGUUUUUAGAGUCCGUAUGUGUGGGGAAACAAGAGAUAGGGUUGGUUUCGGACCCCUUCCUCAAGGGCCACGAAAUUCCCCCCCCCCCUCUUCCUCCAUAUAUACAGCCCUUAGGGCGUCGUUUAGACUUUGGGUUUUGUUUAGAUUAAAAGUUCGCCAUAGCUGCAACUUCGCGUACUUCGUUUGUGUUCAGCGACCAGACAAAGGCGUCACAGAACUCCACCUUGAUCAAUAAAGCUUUCAUCUUAUAUUCGCAAUAUCCAGAUUGCAAUCUCAGUUUCUUGCUUGUUCUUCGUUUGCUCGCAGGAAACAGACCCUCGUGGUCAGGUUGAUCGUGCUCCGGCGUGGUCGAUAACCUCUCGGAGUUGGUUUAGCGAUUGCUAAGGCGCGACGUCCUCGCACGUUCGUAGUCGGAUCGUCAAAGUCGACUUCCACCAAAGCGAUAUCCAUCAUCUCAUCGAAAGACGGGACACCUUUGCCUCUAUCAGGAACAUUUGGAACAUUUACGUGUUGUUUUUAUUGCUCUACGUGAUGCACGUUUGUUUGGUAACCUUGGGAAGUGCACCUUUUGCACCGACCGAGUAUCUUUUCUUGGCUAUGUUGUUACUCCACAGGGAAUUGAAGUUGAUAAAGCCAAGAUUGAAGCUAUUGAGAGUUGCCGCAGCCCAAAACGGUCACACAAGUGCGGAGUUUUCUUGGUCUCGCUGGUUUCUAUAGGCGUUUUGUGAGAGAUUUAGCACCAUUGCUGCACCUCUCAACGAGCUUACAAAGAAGGAUGUGCCUUUUGUUUGGGGUACCGCACAGGAAGAAGCCUUCACGGUAUUGAAAGAUAAGUUGACACAUGCUCCUUUACUCCAACUUCCUGAUUUUAAUAAGACUUUUGAGCUUGAAUGUGAUGCUAGUAGCAUUGGAUUAGGAGGUGUGUUAUUACAAGAUGGCAAACCUGUUGCAUACUUUUCUGAAAAAUUGAGUGGGCCUAGUCUGAAUUAUUCUACUUAUGAUAAAGAACUAUAUGCUCUUGUUCGGACUUUAGAAACAUGGCAACAUUAUUUAUGGCCCAAAGAAUUUGUUAUACAUUCUGAUCAUGAAUCUUUGAAACAUAUUAAAAGUCAAGCUAAACUGAAUCGUAGACAUGCUAAAUGGGUUGAAUUCAUUGAAACUUUCCCUUAUGUCAUUAAACACAAGAAGGGUUAAGAAAAUGUUAUUGCUGAUGCAUUGUCUCGUCGCUAUACUAUGCUUUCACAACUUGACUUCAAAAUAUUUGGUUUGGAGACCAUCAAAGAUCAAUAUGUGCAUGAUGCUGAUUUUAAAGAUGUAUUGCAGAAUUGUAAAGAAGGAAGAACCUGGAACAAGUUUGUCGUUAAUGAUGGAUUUGUGUUUCGUGCUAACAAGCUAUGCAUUCCAGCUAGCUCUCUUCGUCUUUUGUUGUUGCAGGAGGCGCAUGGAGGAGGAUUAAUGGGACACUUUGGCGUGAAGAAGACAGAGGACGUACUUGCUACACAUUUCUUUUGGCCAAAGAUGAGACGGGAUGUUGAGCGUUUUGUUGCUCGCUGCACUACAUGUCAAAAAGCUAAGUCACGACUCAAUCCUCAUGGUUUAUAUAUGCCUUUGCCUGUACCUAGUGUUCCUUGGGAGGAUAUAUCUAUGGACUUUGUUUUAGGUUUACCUCGAACAAAGAAGGGGAAGGAUAGCAUAUUUGUUGUCGUGGAUAGAUUCUCGAAAAUGGCACACUUUAUACCAUGUCAUAAAAUCGAUGAUGCUGUUAAUGUUGCUGAUUUGUUCUUUCGUGAAAUUAUUCGCUUGCAUGGUGUGCCAAAUACUAUUGUUUCCGAUCGUGAUACUAAAUUUCUUAGCCACUUUUGGAGUUGUUUAUGGGCUAAGUUGGGGACUAAACUGCUUUUUAGUACUACUUGUCACCCCCAAACUGAUGGACAAACUGAAGUAGUCAAUAGAACAUUGUCUACUAUGCUUAGGGCUGUUUUGAAGAAUAAUAAGAAAAUGUGGGAAGAAUGCUUGCCUCAUAUUGAGUUUGCUUAUAAUCGUUCAUUGCAUUCUACUACUAAGAUGUGCCCUUUCGAAAUUGUGUAUGGUUUCCUACCUCGUGCACCUAUUGAUUUGUUGCCUCUUCCAUAUUCGGAGAAGGUUAAUUUUGAUGCUAAACAACGUGCUGAAUUGAUCUUAAAAAUGCAUGAGUUAACUAAGGAAAACAUUGAGCGUAUGAAUGCUAAAUAUAAACUUGCUGGAGAUAAGGGUAGAAAACAUGUUGUGUUUGCACCUGGAGAUCUUGUUUGGUUACAUUUGCGUAAGGAUAGAUUUCCUGAUUUGCGCAAAUCAAAGCUAAUGCCACGUGCUGAUGGUCCUUUUAAGGUGUUAGAGAAAAUAAAUGAUAAUGCAUAUAAACUUGAGCUGCCUGCAGAUUUUGGGGUUAGUCCCACUUUUAACAUUGCAGAUUUGAAGCCUUAUUUGGGUGAGGAAGAUGAGCUUCCGUCGAGGACGACUUCAUUUCAAGAAGGGGAGGAUGAUGAGGACAUCAAUACCAUUGUUACACCCACAGGCCCUGCUGCUAUACAUACUGGACCAAUUACUAGAGCUCGCGCACGCCAAUUAAAUUACCAGGUACUUUCGUUUCUUGCUAAUGAUUCUAAUGUUCAUGAGAAUAUGAUGCUGCGUAAAUUGGAUACAUUUGUUUUGCUUACAAAUGAAGGGCCUAGCUUUGAGAAGGAUGAACAUUGGAGCAAGAACAAGCAUGGAGAUGAUGGCAUGCGCAUGGGGAACAAGAACGGAGUUACAAGUGAUGAUUUCAGGACGUUGAAGCCACCAUAAUGCGUGCAUGAAGCCUUGGACGAAAUAUACAAGAUGCUACUUCAUAACUUUCGUCCAGAGGCUAUUCUAGGUGCUGCGUCACCUUAUUAUUGGGCCAGGCCCAUGUAAUUUCGAAAUACAUAAGUAUAGGCUGUUUUUAGAGUCCGUAUGUGUGGGGAAACAAGAGAUAGGGUUGGUUUCGGACCCCUUCCUCAAGGGCCACGAAAUUCCCCCCCCCUCUUCCUCCAUAUAUACAGCCCUUAGGGCGUCGUUUAGACUUUGGGUUUUGUUUAGAUUAAAAGUUCGCCAUAGCUGCAACUUCGCGUACUUCGUUUGUGUUCAGCGACCAGACAAAGGCGUCACAGAACCCCACCUUGAUCAAUAAAGCUUUCAUCUUAUAUUCGCAAUAUCCGGAUUGCAAUCUCAGUUUCUUGCUUGUUCUUCGUUUGCUCGCAGGAAACAGACCCUCGUGGUCAGGUUGAUCGUGCUCCGGCGUGGUCGAUAACCUCUCGGAGUUGGUUUAGCGAUUGCUAAGGCGCGACGUCCUCGCACGUUCGUAGUCGGAUCGUCAAAGUCGACUUCCACCAAAGCGAUAUCCAUCAUCUCAUCGAAAGACGGGACACCUUUGCCUCUAUCACCGGAUUGGGUGAUUCUUUUUUUGUUGAAAAGUAGAUUUCGUCCUCUUUCCAACCCAAUUGGAUUCACCUUUAAAUUUGUUCGGAGCGUUGAGAUAUGGACGAAACAAUCUGACGCUAUAGCAGAAUCCGAGUCAAACAACAAGUCCAAAGGUGUUGCAUCACCUCCACUUGGGCCCAUGAGCCUUGUACGACCUAGGUUGGUUUUAGGCUGCCUUGGGACGUCUAGUAGCUUUUUGCUUGGGUUUUGUUUAGAUUAAAAGUUCACCAUAGCUGCAACUUCGCGUACUUCGUUUGUGUUCAACGACCAGACAAAGGCGUCACAGAAUCCCACCUUGAUCAAUAAAGCUUUCCUCUUAUAUUCGCAAUAUCCAGAUUGCAAUCUACCACUUGAUAGAGGCAAAGGUGUCCCGUCUUUCGAUGAGAUGGUGGCUAUCGUUUUGGAGGAAGUCGAAUUUGACGAUCCGAUUACGAACGUGCGAGGACGUCGCGCCUUAGCAAUCGCUAAACCAACUCCGAGAGGUUAUUGACCACGCCGGAGCACGAUCAACCUGACCACGAAGGUCUGUUUCCUGCAGGCAAACGAACAACAAGCAAGAAACUAAGAUUGCAAUCUGGAUAUUCCGAAUAUAAGAGGAAAGCUUUAUUGAUCAAGGUGGGGUUCUGUGACGCCUUUGUCUGGUCGUUGAACACAAACAAAGUACGCGAAGUUGCAGCUAUGGCGAACUUUUAAUCUAAACAAAACCCAAAGUCUAAACGAUGCCCUAGGGGCUGUAUAUAUGGAGGAAGAGGGGGGGGGGGAAUUUCGCGGCCCUUGGAGGAGGGGUCCGAAACCCACCCUAACUCUUGUUUCCCCACACAUACGGACUCUAAAAACAGCCUAUAUUGAAGUAUUUCAAAAUUACAUGGGCCUGGCCCAAAAUAAGGUGACGCGGCACCUAGAAUAGCCUAUGGACGAAAAUUAUGAAGUGGCAUCUUGUAUAUUUCGUCCAAGGCUUCAUGCACUCAUUAUGGUGGCUUCAAAGUCCUGAAAUCAUCACUUG
rnacentral:lncRNA from 1 species